GCAAACUUGGUCAUUUAGAGGAAGUAAAAGUCGUAACAAGGUUUCCGUAGGUGAACCUGCGGAAGGAUCAUUACCAAAGAUUAGCUGUCCGGCUGCAAAGCUGGGACGCUUCAACCUUUUGUGAACCCAACCAACUUUCGCUUCGGCAGCCGGUUCAGGUCGAACUGCAACCGUAAGCCUGCCGUUAGCACCCAACCAAAACUUUUGUUCAAACUUUGUCUGAAGCGAAAUUUUCGAAUGAAAAUCAAAACUUUCAACAACGGAUCUCUUGGUUCCCGCAUCGAUGAAGAACGCAGC
rnacentral:misc_RNA from 1 species